UGGGGAAUAUUGGACAAUGGGCGAAAGCCUGAUCCAGCCAUGCCGCGUGUGUGAAGAAGGUCUUCGGAUUGUAAAGCACUUUAAGUUGGGAGGAAGGGCAGUAAGCGAAUACCUUGCUGUUUUGACGUUACCGACAGAAUAAGCACCGGCUAACUCUGUGCCAGCAGCCGCGGUAAUACAGAGGGGGCAAGCGUUAAUCGGAAUUACUGGGCGUAAAGCGCGCGUAGGUGGUUCGUUAAGUUGAAUGUGAAAGCCCCGGGCUCAACCUGGGAACUGCAUCCAAAACUGGCGAGCUAGAGUAGGGCAGAGGGUGGUGGAAUUUCCUGUGUAGCGGUGAAAUGCGUAGAUAUAGGAAGGAACACCAGUGGCGAAGGCGACCACCUGGGCUCAUACUGACACUGAGGUGCGAAAGCGUGGGGAGCAAACAGG
rnacentral:rRNA from 1 species